AAACAACUCAUAACAUAAUAUUUAACAAAUAUUAGUACAUGAAUUGGAUCAUCAAAUUCAUCACAUAAUAACAUAUCUUAACCAAUUUCAAAAUUCAAAGCAAUCAAACAACAUCCUAUUGGAGGAUAAGGAUUCCUCAAUUCAACCCCUUAUGCAUAUACCCGUUAUAGAAUUAAGUCUCCCCCUUACCUAAUUAUCCUAGCAGCGAUUGAAAAAUUCUUGCUUGAUG
rnacentral:lncRNA from 1 species